GAUCCUGGCUCAGGAUGAACGCUGGCGGCGUGCCUAACACAUGCAAGUCGAACGGAGUUACGAGAGCUUGCUUUGUAACUUAGUGGCGGACGGGUGAGUAAUGUAUGAGCAACCUGCCUUUCAGAGGGGGACAACAGUUGGGAACGACUGCUAAUACCGCAUAAUGUAUUUUGAGGGCAUCCUCGGGAUACCAAAGGAGCAAUCCGCUGAAAGAUGGGCUCAUAUCUGAUUAGCUAGUUGGUGGGGUAACGGCUCACCAAGGCUGCGAUCAGUAGCCGGACUGAGAGGUUGAACGGCCACAUUGGGACUGAGAUACGGCCCAGACUCCUACGGGAGGCAGCAGUGGGGAAUAUUGGGCAAUGGGCGAAAGCCUGACCCAGCAACGCCGCGUGAAGGAAGAAGGUCUUCGGAUUGUAAACUUCUUUUAUGAGGGACGAAGGAUGUGACGGUACCUCAUGAAUAAGCCACGGCUAACUACGUGCCAGCCGCUGC
rnacentral:rRNA from 1 species